rnacentral:rRNA from 1 species
UAAUACAUGCAAGUCGAACGAUACCAAGAGGCUUGCUUCUUGGAAAAGUGGCGCACGGGUGCGUAACGCGUAUGCAACCUACCUUAAUCAGGGGGAUAGCCCGAAGAAAUUCGGAUUAACACCGCAUAAAAACACAGAAUAGCAUUAUUCAAUGUUCAAAUAUUUAUAGGAUUAAGAUGGGCAUGCGUGUCAUUAGCUAGUUGGCGGGGUAACGGCCCACCAAGGCGACGAUGACUAGGGGAUCUGAGAGGAUGACCCCCCACACUGGUACUGAGACACGGACCAGACUCCUACGGGAGGCAGCAGUAAGGAAUAUUGGUCAAUGGAGGCAACUCUGAACCAGCCAUGCCGCGUGCAGGAAGACGGCCCUAUGGGUUGUAAACUGCUUUUAUCCGGGAAUAAACCUUUCUACGUGUAGAGAGCUGAAUGUACCGGAAGAAUAAGGAUCGGCUAACUCCGUGCCAGCAGCCGCGGUAAUACGGAGGAUCCAAGCGUUAUCCGGAUUUAUUGGGUUUAAAGGGUGCGUAGGCGGCCUGUUAAGUCAGAGGUGAAAGACGGUAGCUCAACUAUCGCAGUGCCUUUGAUACUGACGGGCUUGAAUGAACUAGAGGUAGGCGGAAUGAGACAAGUAGCGGUGAAAUGCAUAGAUAUGUCUCAGAACACCGAUUGCGAAGGCAGCUUACUAUGGUUUUAUUGACGCUGAGGCACGAAAGCGUGGGGAUCAAACAGGAUUAGAUACCCUGGUAGUCCACGCCCUAAACGAUGAAUACUCGCUGUUAGCGAUAUACAGUUAGCGGCUAAGCGAAAGCGUUAAGUAUUCCACNCUGGGGAGUACGCUCGCAAGAGUGAAACUCAAAGGAAUUGACGGGGGCCCGCACAAGCGGAGGAGCAUGUGGUUUAAUUCGAUGAUACGCGAGGAACCUUACCCGGGCUUGAAAGUUAGUGAAUUAUU